rnacentral:rRNA from 1 species
UACGAAGGUGGCAAGCGUUGUUCGGAUUUACUGGGCGUAAAGGGAGCGUAGGUGGUUAGGUAAGCCCUCCGGGAAAUCUUCAGGCUUAACCUGAAAAGGUCGGGGGGACUGCCUAGCUAGAGGGCGGGAGAGGAGCGCGGAAUUCCCGGUGUAGCGGUGAAAUGCGUAGAGAUCGGGAGGAAGGCCGGUGGCGAAGGCGGCGCUCUGGAACGUUUCUGACACUGAGGCUCGAAAGCGUGGGGAGCAAACAGG